CGUAUAUAAAUUUGUCGUGGUGCAUACUCGCAUGCGCUAGCCUCAGGAUCGAUAGACGCGACCACCGGGUCCGCGUAUUACAUGUAUGACGUCACACGGGCCUGACAGCUAGCGAAAAGCCGCGAUUAUUAACGGAGUGUGCCGAGGGAAACCGAGGGUACGCGAACCGGGUGAAACCAUCCCCAUACGAGCCUUCUUCCAUAUCAUCCACUAUCAUAAUCGGGGAAAAAUAACGUUAACGCAAACGCAAACAACCACGACGACAUCCUAUUCAAUGUACUUGUUUUAACGUCACUCAUAAACAAUUCGUAAUCUAAAUAACUGCAUUAUUAUUAAUAUUAACAUUAGUAGUAACAAUAAUAACAACAAUAAAAAUAAAACUAACAAUUGUUUAUUUCAAUAAAUAUAUUUUUUUACGUAGGUAAGGAUUUGUCAAAACACGAUCAACAUUACCGGCUGUGUAAUUUCAAUUCGCAAGAUAAUGAUAAAGUAAAUUCUGUUAUUUUUUUUUUUUAUUUCAAGUGACAAGUGUGUACUCGGCUUACAACAAUCCAAGUAAUUAUUAUUCAUAAUAAAUAAUAACUUAAUUUUAAAGAUAAAUUAUAAAUUAAAAUAUAAGAAAACAAAAUGGCGGGAUAUCGUGUUGAUAAUUAUUAACGAUCCGCGAGAUAAUAUUAAAAACUCAAGGUGAACAGUGGUGAGUUGAUGCAUAAAAUAUAAAAUAAUAAUUAUUAAUAAUAAUGACUAACUAGGACAAUAAAUAAAUAAAUGAAUAUUAACUAUAUUAUAAUAAAUUAUUAGGUAAAUAAAUGUCGAGUGUUAAAAAAUAGUGAUAUCGUCGCAUUGCCCUGCAGUAGCUGUUGGCGCAGCUGAGCCAGAGCACACAACUUAGACAUCCUAUGUCGUACAUACACACCUACAUCUAUAUACAUUGAUACAUUGAUACCAACAACCAGUAGGGCUCUAUAUAUAUUGAGGACAACAUAUACAAGUAAAGGCACGAGGUGAAGUGGGUGGUGUUGAGCUAACACGACCCACAGCCCUACAUUUGAGGACAACUAGUGCAAGCUAACCUUACAAUAUUAUAACGUCUCUGCGCACGAUUACAUUGCUUACAUACAUUUUUAUACAUCAGUCAAUUGUGGCAGUAUCCGCUGUGUCCUGCUUUUUUUAUGAAAACAAGUGUCACAAGUGAGUUUUGUAUCCUGAAUUGUCGUC